rnacentral:rRNA from 1 species
AGAGUUUGAUCCUGGCUCAGGAUGAACGCUAGCUACAGGCUUAACACAUGCAAGUCGAGGGGAAACGACAUCGAAAGCUUGCUUUUGAUGGGCGUCGACCGGCGCACGGGUGAGUAACGCGUAUCCAACCUGCCCAUCACUUGGGGAUAACCUUGCGAAAGUAAGACUAAUACCCAAUGAUAUCUCUAGAAGACAUCUGAAGGAGAUUAAAGAUUUAUCGGUGAUGGAUGGGGAUGCGUCUGAUUAGCUUGUUGGCGGGGUAACGGCCCACCAAGGCGACGAUCAGUAGGGGUUCUGAGAGGAAGGUCCCCCACAUUGGAACUGAGACACGGUCCAAACUCCUACGGGAGGCAGCAGUGAGGAAUAUUGGUCAAUGGGCGAGAGCCUGAACCAGCCAAGUAGCGUGCAGGAUGACGGCCCUAUGGGUUGUAAACUGCUUUUAUAUGGGGAUAAAGUGGGUUACGUGUAGCUUAUUGCAGGUACCAUAUGAAUAAGGACCGGCUAAUUCCGUGCCAGCAGCCGCGGUAAUACGGAAGGUCCAGGCGUUAUCCGGAUUUAUUGGGUUUAAAGGGAGCGUAGGCCGCCCCUUAAGCGUGUUGUGAAAUGCCGCGGCUCAACCGUGGCACUGCAGCGCGAACUGGGGGGCUUGAGUGCACGCAACGCAGGCGGAAUUCGUGGUGUAGCGGUGAAAUGCUUAGAUAUCACGAAGAACUCCGAUUGCGAAGGCAGCUUGCGGGAGUGCGACUGACGCUGAAGCUCGAAGGUGCGGGUAUCGAACAGGAUUAGAUACCCUGGUAGUCCGCACAGUAAACGAUGGAUGCCCGCUGUGUGUCUUAAUGGUACGCGGCCAAGCGAAAGCGUUAAGCAUCCCACCUGGGGAGUACGCCGGCAACGGUGAAACUCAAAGGAAUUGACGG